rnacentral:rRNA from 1 species
AUUGAACGCUGGCGGCAGGCCUACCACAUGCAAGUCGAACGAGUGGCGGACGGGUGAGUAAUGUCUGGGAAACUGCCCGAUGGCGGGGGGUAACUACUGGAAACGGUAGCUAAUACCGCAUACCCUCGGAUGUGCCCAGAUGGGAUUAGCUAGUAGGUGGGGUAACGGCUCACCUAGGCGACGAUCCCUAGCUGGUCUGAGAGGAUGACCAGCCACACUGGAACUGAGACACGGUCCAGACUCCUACGGGAGGAAGCAGUGGGGAAUAUUGCACAAUGGGCGCAAGCCUGAUGCAGCCAUGCCGCGUGUAUGAAGAAGGCCUUCGGGUUGUAAAGUACGUUCAGCGAGGAGGCGUUACUCGCAGAAGAAGCACCGGCUAACUCCGUGCCAGCAGCCGCGGUAAUUC